CUACGGGCCGCUCCAGUGAGGAAUUUUGCGCAAUGGGCGAAAGCCUGACGCAGCAACGCCGCGUGAGUGAUGAAGGCCUUCGGGUCGUAAAGCUCUGUCAAGUGGGAAGAACCUAUGUAAUGUUAAUAUCAUUAUAUACUGACGGUACCACUGAAGGAAGCACCGGCUAACUCCGUGCCAGCAGCCGCGGUAAUACGGGGGGUGCAAGCGUUAUUCGGAAUCAUUGGGCGUAAAGGGCACGUAGGCGGCCUGGUAAGUCAGAUGUGAAAGCCCGGGGCUUAACCCCGGAAGUGCAGUUUAUACUGUGAGGCUAGAGUAUGGGAGAGGGAAGUGGAAUUCCUGGUGUAGAGGUGAAAUUCGUAGAUAUCAGGAGGAACACCGGUGGCGAAGGCGACUUCCUGGACCAAUACUGACGCUGAGGUGCGAAGGCGUGGGUAGCAAACAGGAUUAGAUACCCUAGUAGUC
rnacentral:rRNA from 1 species